rnacentral:lncRNA from 1 species
UUUUUUUUAUUAUUUUUUAUUUUUUUGAGACAGAGUCUCGCUGUAUCGCCCAGGCUGGAGUGCAGUGGGAUGAUCUCGGCUCACUGAAACCUCCACCUCCUGGGUUUAAGUGAUUCUCCUGCCUCAGCUUCCCUAGUAGCUGGGAUUACAGGCACACACCACCAUCCCUGGCUAAUUUUUUGUAUUUUUAGUAGAGACGGGGUUUCACCGUGCUGGCCAGGCUGGUCUCGAACUCCCAAACUUGUGAUCCACCUGCCUCGGCCUUUCCAAAGUGCUGUGAUUACAGGCGUGAGCCACCAUGCCCGGCCGGGUUUUAGUGUAUUUCUAAUGCUUCCACUUUGUAGAAAACAAGUGUAUGGGAGAGCCACAAGUAGAUCCCUGAAAAUGUAGUUGCUUUUAGCAAAACUGCUUAAUUUCUUUUUGAUGAGUGUGCUACGCAUUAUUCGGAAUUGUUUGGCUAAAUUUUCCUAAAUACACAUGAGGCUUAAAGGAAGAGUGUAGUUUAGGAGAAAUGGGUUUACUGACCCCUAGGAGAGAGGAACUUAAUGAAUCAGAAGUGUAUUGCUUCUCAUGCAUGAAAUAGGACUUCGAACCUCUCCCCCAUCGGUCAGAGCUGAGGAGCAUGAGUGAUCCGUUACAUUUUUUCUGGUCUGUUACAUCAUUGCUCCUGAAGGGUUUCCACAGAUACAACAUUAGCUUUUUGGGUAGCAGGGAAAGCUUUAUUUCUUUAUUGUCUUGACUCAGCAAUGCUCAGAAGAGCGCUAGGUAUACAGUAAGUACUUAAUACUUACAUAAAUGUUUAAUCUGUUAGGUGUUUAGGUUUACCCAACUAAACAGUGAGUCCAAGAAGGGGGUCUUUUCUAUGAGUCUGGACAUCCUCCACAUUUCUGGUUCUUCCUGUUUCUGUUCAGGGGGAGUGGGGGGGCCGCUCAGUGGGGCCAAGGAAGUCACAAAUGAGGUUCAUACACCCCUUAUUAAAGGCCCCUACAUGCCAGGCCUGGUCAAAGCCUCAGGAAUAGGCUCAGUGCAACAGAGCUGCUCAGCCAAGUGCACAAGAAGCCAGGCCAAGCGCACAAGAAGCCAGCCGGCAAACUGUACUGGAAGCCUUUAUACUCCUGCUUCCCAGGCCGGAGCUCUGAGCCCAGAGUCAUACAGAUCAGAGAUCUGGGGACAGGCAAGCAUUGUAGAGGGUCUCCUCCAGGGAGACUGGAUUACAAAGAAAACCUUUUGAAGCCUGGGGCUAUUUUCACCCAGGAAGGCUCAAGGCCUGGGGAUUGCCCAGCUCAUUCUCUUCUUCCCUUGGGUUCUGAACCCACGCCAGCACCUCCUGAGGCCCCUUAGUCUGAUGCUGGCCACGUAAACACACAGCCUUUGUACAAUGCCACACCAGUGGACUCUGUAUCAUUAAUCUGCAUC